UCUUGUUUUAGACCUCCAGUGACUUCUGUGUCUCUCCUGACGUAUAUGUCACCAAAGUGGCAGAUCAGUAUGGAGUCCUCAAUCAAGAUAUCCUGCAGUACUACCUUACUUGCAGUUUGGAACAAAGUAACCCCUUCCAGC